rnacentral:lncRNA from 1 species
ACCUUGACAGACUGUUGAAAAUGGCUGGCAACUGACAGUGUCAUUAUUACACCGUACAUAGAGCCAUGCUCCGACGGAAAUUCCAAAAAGAAGAAAUCUUUUUUGAAAAGACUCUAGUACCAGCGUGCCGAACGUCAAAAUAUCUGACAACCAUCGAGCACAGAAAUCAAGGGAAGCAACUUCAGCUGUGAGAAUUCCUCAGUA